rnacentral:tRNA from 2 species
CGAAAUUGGUAGACGCUGCGGACUUAAAAUCCGUUGGCUUUUUAGACCGUGAGGGUUCAAGUCCCUCUACCCCCA